rnacentral:lncRNA from 1 species
GGGGUUGGAACUUGAGUUCCAAAUUCAUCAUCGGAACCAAGCAUAUUCACAUGAUUCCCAUCGCCAAUCUUUAAGCAAACGCGGAGAUGUCUUUUACCACAAAGCCACUAUAAAAAUAGAGAGCAUAGAGAGCCCUGGUAGUAAAUUAUCAGUGAAACCAACUGAGAAUUCAAAAAAUCAUUUAUCAAGCUCAAGUAGACAAAUUAGCCAGUAUGUCGUAUGCAGAAACCUAUAUACAAUAUGCGGUUAUUUAAAGAAGUAAAAUUACCUUGAUUGCCAGCAGUGUGGUAGAAAUGGUGAUAAUCUUCAUCAGUGAUCUAUUUUUGUGAAACAAUUUGAAUCAAUCAUUACAUUCAAAUUCAUCACUCUGCACAUGAAACUAAAAAAAUCAAAUUAGGGCUCUGGUUAAAAACAAUAAACAUAGACUAAGCAUACAUGAGAAAUCAAAUAAUACUCGCAUUAACCUUAAAAUAUAGACAAUUUGAUUUGAAACAAAUUAAAUCAAUUAACUAUCAUUAAUCUUAAAUUCAUCAAUUUGCAUUGGAAAGUAAAGAAAUCAAGCUGGUAAACUAUAUAUUUAGUUUAAUACUAAGAGAACUAAAGUUUUUAUAUGGUUAAUACAGCUAGACACAAUAAAAACUAUCUUAUCUUAAUCAACAUUAUGCAAAAGAAGAAGAAACCCAAUAGUUGGUUUGAUAUUAAAGAAUAAUAUAUAAUACAAAAUAAGAAAUUGCAUUGUAUUCAACUAUUCAUAUAAUCUGAACCAUCUAAUAGUAGAGAUGAGCUUGGUACCGGUACCGAAUUUCCCACUGGUACCGAAUUUCGCCAAAUGUGGAUACCGGUACCAAAUGACUCAUAAUUAAGAAAGUACUUUUUAAUUAAAUUCUAAAUCAAGUGACUUUCAAUUACUUUUACCCUCCACACUAUUUUACCCAUUCGACCUGCUAGAGGAUAAUCCGACCCAAAUGACUCAUUUGACCAUUUGAUUCAUUAGAGAUCAAUCUAACUCAAAUGCCUAAUUUCACCCAUAUGACCCAUUAAAGGCCAAUCUAACCCAAAUGACUUAUUUACCCAUAAAUGGGUCGAAAUUAGAAAACCAUCAUAUGUGCUUUAUGGAACAGGGAGGAGUUAAUCGAACAGUAGCACUAUGUGUUGGUUUUGUAAGAGUAAAACAAUCUCAUUUAAGAUUAGAACAACGGUAGAAUAGCCAAUUUUAUUUGACCCAAACUCAUUAAUAACCAAAAUUUGUUUAUCCAAACAUUAAAGAACUUUUAAUCUAAAAAACAGUUCCAAUAUGUGCCAUCCAAACACCACCUACAAUUGAGUUGUACUUGAUCUUACCACUUUCUGGCAUAUAUGAUAUGUUCACCAUUUUAUGGGUCACAUCUUCUUUUCUAAUUGUAUCAACAGAAUGAAAACCCUUACAUCUUUGUUUCAUUUCACGAUUUUUCGCAACCAAACCCGUUAUCGGAAAACUCACGAAAUCCCACCAAUACCCUGCCAACCAAUAUGAUCAUGUAAAAUGCAGCUAGCACUUAUAAUUUGAACCCACAAAAUAAAAAUCAACAAUGGACAAAACAAAUGUAAUUUUGCUAGAUGAAAUUCUCUCAAUUAGCUAAAGAGAUCAAUUCAUGCUGUCAGUAUAUCAUAUAAGAUUUUAUUUUGUUUCAAAAUUCUUCCAUUCAAAAUUCUUCCAAAAGCUAGAAAAAUAUAGAGAAGACAAUAUAUUUUAUUGAGUAAUAUUAGAUCUAUAAUCACAGAUGCAGAUCAUUAUCAUCAUCGUCGUCGUCGUCGUCGUCAUUGUGCUAAUAUUAUCGGGUCGCUAGGUCAAGUCAACCUGACCAAGCCUGUUUCGACAUGCACGAAGGAUGACCUGUUUUAACCUGUUAACCAACUCGGCAAACUUCCCAUCUUGCCACGCCUCUAUUAUAUUGUGUCAUACAGACUAACCCAGUGUCCAAAUGUAAGUUUUAAACAAAAAAUAUAAAUAAUUGCAUAUGCAAAAAAAAUGCAUUAACAAAAUGUAGGUCGGCAUCUUUCCAUUUAAAUUUUUCCACCCUUUUUAUCAUGCCGAACCAUAGUUGGAACUUUACAUCUUGCCAUACGUUAAAAAAGAUUUUUAUUUACCUCAGAAUGAAGAGAAAUAACCCUAAUUUUGUGAUUAAGAAGAAAAAGUAAAAUUAUCCCUAACUAAUUUUGUGAUUAAAAAGAAAAAGUAAAAUUGUCCCUAAUUUUGAUGAUUAUUCACUGCAUCUUGUCAUCGUAGUCCAAGCCAAAACCAAGUUUCAAAAUAAUGAUCAAGGUGGAACAACGUUUAAAACCUUACCUGUAAUCGAUACUGCUCAACAAUGGCGAUCGGCGGAGGUGAUGGCACCCUCUUAGGGUUUCGGUGUCUGGUUAUGAGCCCCCAAUCAUCCACCUACGAAUCCAGUAAAAAAGAAACUUAAAAAAAACCCUAAAUCAUAAUCAUGUAAGAAACCUCUGAAACAACCAAAAGUUUUAGGGUUUCUUAGCUGAAAGGAAAAGGGAAAUAAGGUGUAGGGGAAAUAAUGAAUUUCAAUUUUGAAUGAGAUAAGUUGUUUUGGAAAACUGAAAAGGCAUAGAUGUCUAUGGUUUGAACCAGAUAAGCUAAGCUGGUUUGGGGAGAAAGAGAAGGGU